GAGAACGUGGGGGAUCUUCGGACCUCACGCUAUUAGAUGAGCCUAGGUCGGAUUAGCUAGUUGGUGAGGUAAUGGCUCACCAAGGCGACGAUCCGUAACUGGUCUGAAAGGAUGAUCAGUCACACUGGAACUGAGACACGGUCCAGACUCCUACGGGAGGCAGCAGUGGGGAAUAUUGGACAAUGGGCGAAAGCCUGAUCCCGCCAUGCCCCGUGUGUGAAGAACGUCUUCAGGUCUUCGGAUUGUAAAGCACUUUAAGUUGGGAGCAAGGGCAGUUACCUAAUACGUGAUUGUUUUGACGUUACCGACAGAAUAAGCACCGGCUAACUCUGUGCCAGCAGCCGCGGUAAUACAGAGGGUGCAAGCGUUAAUCGGAAUUACUGGCGUAAAGCGCGCGUAGGUGGUUUGUUAAGUUGGAUGUGAAAUCCCCGGGCUCAACCUGGGAACUGCAUCCAAAACUGGCAAGCUAGAGUAUGGUAGAGGGUGGUGGAAUUUCCUGUGUAGCGGUGAAAUGCGUAGAUAUAGGAAGGAACACCAGUGGCGAAGGCGACCACCUGGACUGAUACUGACAC
rnacentral:rRNA from 1 species